UGUUUCAAAGUGACCACGUUUCCACCGCCCUUCUCGGCUCUGUAGCAGGGUACCGCCUCCUGGUGGCGGGGGGGUGUAGCGCCCCGCCUCCAGGCUCUGAGCUGUGCUUCGUUACAUGCGAGUUGUUGUUUUUCUGAUACAAAAAAAGAAGAGAGAGCUGAGCUAAUUUUUUUAUAGCCUGAUUGCAUUUUUCUGAGACGUCAAGAAAAUGUGACAGUGGGAGGAAUACUGCGAUAUGGUGAGGAGGAGCUGAUCUCCGCCCUGCAGCGGGAGGAAAGCAGGUGGCUCAGACGGCUCAGACCAUCGUGGUUCUUCCUGCAGCCUUUGGGUUGUAGGAUCUCAUCAUGUCCGUCUUCCUGCCAGUCGGUGUUGACCUUCAGGAUGUCCAGAGACCUCCACCUUUCUGGAGCAGCAAUCACAUGAGCUCAAUAUGCUGAUCAAACAUUUCUGAUAAAAAAAAGUGUGUCUGAUGUUCUUACAGAGUUGAAGUGCAUUAACAGUCUGUUGUUUUUAACUUCUCAAUACGUUUAAUUAUGAUUCACCUGAUGUCCAAGUUAUACUGAGAACAAAUAAAUCUUUAUUGCUUCUAAUCUGACUGGUUCCUCUUCCAUGAUUUCACAUUUUGAACUCUAAGAGUUAAAAGUUUAAACUCAGUCUUAAUUAUAAUUAAGGUUACAGGUUUUGGACACAUUUUCUCACUUUCUUAAAUUGAAGAUUUUGCAGGAAGACAGAUAAACAGUGAGUGGAUAGAAUGAUGAUUAUAAACUAGAAACUAACAAACAUGAUUUGUAUUUUGGGUUCUUGUUAAUAGCUGCCCUGAUGAUAAUGUCAAAAUGUUUGGUUUGCUGAAUAAUGUAUUCAGUUUUGGAUGGCUUCGUUGGUAAUCUACAAUGUUAAGUUCAAUGAAAUAUUUAUAUAAUGUAAUGUUAUUUUCACUCAGGCUAAAGCUCCUCACAUUUUGGGAGGAUUGUAUUAGGAGCUUGUUAUAAACUACAGUAAGUACAAUAAUGUGUGGAGUGAGCAGAAAUAAAGAGACUUUGUUCACUGAGACACAACAACUUUAAUUUUUCUUUUGUUUGUCUCAACUCUCCUUGUUGCUCUGCCAUCUCUGCUGGUAGCUGCUUCCUGCUGAAGGAUCCAGGUGUUCUGAUGGUUCUCCAUCAUGUCAGCCAGUUUGCUCUCCUUCUGCUCCCUGGUAAUCAGCUUAUAGCACUUAAAUGUAGAUGAAUAACAGUCACUAAUGUGGACGUUACAUACACAUAAGGAAUUAUUUAAAACAGACAUGUUGCUAUAUAUAUAUAUAUAUAUAUAUAUAUAUAUAUAUAAUGUACACAUACAACACUUUUUUUUUUACCAUCCAGCCCGAAUUAUAAAUAACUGGAAUAGUUCUGCAAAUUAAAGACAAAAUGUAAUUACUUGUAAGUUUUAGACCUAUGCAGACAUACAGCCAUGGAUAAAAUACCACUAUCAUUUCUUCAUGUUUAUUGUUCAUUCUACAAUUAAUAAUUCAUAACAAAUUGAUUAAGAACUGAUAUCUAGCCAUUUUACAAUAGGAUGUCAUAUGACAUUUUUUAUUAUCUCRCAAUGGGGGAAACUCAGAUGCAACAGCAAAAUGAGAAACAAUUGAAGCUCGUAGAUUCACACAAASAUAAACAAAUGAUGGUAACAUGCUGUACAAUAUUGAGUUAUUUAUUACUGUAAUGUGCAACUGAGUGUCUUCAGAAAAUGCGCAUGUUGUGUUUGAGCAAUAAAAAUACAGCAGGCUUUGUGUUUUAAAUGUCGUCCAUGACUGUAUGUAUGCAACCUUAAAUGUAGUAAMAACCAGACRGAUAUAUCUACAAACUGCUCACCUGGCUGGACAGCAGCAGCGGCGUUAGCUGCGUCUGAGUCGGUGUUCACCGAGGGGCUCCGAAGCGGCUAACGAGGCUUUCCAUUCUCUCCACUACGGUCAGAAAAGCGACUCAUUCCUUACGCUCCAUCGAGCUGCUGGCUGAAUAUUGAAAUCCGAA